rnacentral:rRNA from 1 species
CCUACGGGAGGCAGCAGUGGGGAAUAUUGGGCAAUGGGCGCAAGCCUGACCCAGCAACGCCGCGUGAAGGAAGAAGGCUUUCGGGUUGUAAACUUCUUUUGUCAGGGACGAAGAACGGGACGGGACCGGACGAAUAAGCCACGGCUAACUACGGGCAAGCAGCCGCGGUAAGACGUAGGUGGCAAGCGUUAUCCGGAUUUACUGGGUGUAAAGGGCGUGUAGGCGGGACUGCAAGUCAGAUGUGACAACCACGGGCUCAACCUGUGGCCUGCAUUUGAAACUUUAGUUCUUGAGUACUGGAGCGGCCGACUGAAUUCCUAGUGUAGCGGUGAAAUGCGUAGAUAUUAGGAGGAACACCCGUGGCGACGGCGGUCUGCUGGACUGCACCUGACGCUGAGGCGCGCAAGCGUGGGGAGCAAACAGGAUUAGAUACCCCUGUAGUC